rnacentral:lncRNA from 1 species
GUGCAACAAGCCGACUCUGGAGAAGGCAGUUCAACUUCCAUAGCUCUUACCUCAGAGGUGAGAAAAUAUUUUGUGCUCUUUGAAACAUAACUUGGCACCAGGAAAAUUAUACACAUCAGAAGCAUUUUAAUAUCCCUGGGCAUGUAGUGGUUGAAAACAAACACAAGCCACUUUGCAUGAGGGGAUUUUAAUACCACAUGCUCAGGAAGGUACCAUGUGACGUAUAAAAUAUACAGUUUAGAAAAACCUGAUGGUGUAACGUGGUAUGUGUAUUCUUAUCACCUCACAUCCAGCAAACCACGUGGAAAACUGUGCGCAAGACAGCCACGAGAACAGUGGCAACUCAGACGACACUGGAAUGCCAUUCCGUUGCUACGCAGGUGCACAUGAGCCUGAAGACGCUGGUUUCUGCGAAGACACAGACAGAGUGCUGUGCUGGAUCGCAUGAAGCACCAGUAGCAGCUGCAGUCAAUGUUGCUCCAGUGCCACUGCUCCCUGCAGAUUUCAGGCAUCUUCGUGGCUCAACACCUGUCCCAUUGGAUGAAUCAUCCUCUGCU